UGGGGAUUGACCCGAGUGGCAAAGGGACCUGUCUGUAAAGCAGGUGGCAUCACGUCCUUCGCGGGUUCGAGUCCCGCAUCCCCAA
rnacentral:tRNA from 1 species